GAGCUUGACCUUUGAUUGCAGUUCUAGGCUGGAAUGAUAUAUCUUGUUCUCCUAAUUCUAUUGCCCACUUGGUCAUCUGACCUAAAGCCUCAGGCUUUGUCAAAGUGGUUGAUCAGUAAGAACACAAAUAGGAUUGGAUGAAAAGUAAGGCCUCAACUUCCGAGCUGCAUGGACUAGAGCCAAGACCAGUUUCACUGCACU
rnacentral:lncRNA from 1 species